rnacentral:rRNA from 1 species
AGACCCGAAACCCGGUGAUCUAGCCAUGGGCAGGUUGAAGGUUGGGUAACACUAACUGGAGGACCGAACCGACUAAUGUUGAAAAAUUAGCGGAUGACCUGUGGCUGGGGGUGAAAGGCCAAUCAAACCGGGAGAUAGCUGGUUCUCCCCGAAAGCUAUUUAGGUAGCGCCUCGUGAAUUCAUCUCCGGGGGUAGAGCACUGUUUCGGCUAGGGGGCCAUCCCGGCUUACCAACCCGAUGCAAACUGCGAAUACCGGAGAAUGUUAUCACGGGAGACACACGGCGGGUGCUAACGUCCGUCGUGAAGAGGGAAACAACCCAGACCGCCAGCUAAGGUCCCAAAGUCAUGGUUAAGUGGGAAACGAUGUGGGAAGGCCCAGACAGCCAGGAUGUUGGCUUAGAAGCAGCCAUCAUUUAAAGAAAGCGUAAUAGCUCACUGGUCGAGUCGGCCUGCGCGGAAGAUGUAACGGGGCUAAACCAUGCACCGAAGCUGCGGCAGCGACACUCAGGUGUUGUUGGGUAGGGGAGCGUUCUGUAAGCCUGCGAAGGUGGCCUGUGAGGGUUGCUGGAGGUAUCAGAAGUGCGAAUGCUGACAUAAGUAACGAUAAAGCGGGUGAAAAGCCCGCUCGCCGGAAGACCAAGGGUUCCUGUCCAACGUUAAUCGGGGCAGGGUGAGUCGACCCCUAAGGCGAGGCCGAAAGGCGUAGUCGAUGGGAAACGGGUUAAUAUUCCCGUACUUGGUGUUACUGCGAAGGGGGGACGGAGAAGGCUAUGUUGGCCGGGCGACGGUUGUCCCGGUUUAAGCGUGUAGGUGUGUGUUCCAGGUAAAUCCGGUUCACUUUAACACUGAGGCGUGAUGACGAGGCACUACGGUGCUGAAGCAACAAAUGCCCUGCUUCCAGGAAAAGCCUCUAAGCAUCAGGUAACAUCAAAUCGUACCCCAAACCGACACAGGUGGUCAGGUAGAGAAUACCAAGGCGCUUGAGAGAACUCGGGUGAAGGAACUAGGCAAAAUGGUGCCGUAACUUCGGGAGAAGGCACGCUGACAUGUAGGUGAAGUGAUUUACUCAUGGAGCUGAAGUCAGUCGAAGAUACCAG